GACGAACCGUGCGAACGUUAUUCGGAAUCACUGGGCUUAAAGCGCGUGUAGGCGGAUGGGUACGUCGGUCGCUGAAAUCCCCCGGCUCAACCGGGGAACGGGCACCGAAACGACCCGUCUGGAGGGACGUAGGGGGACCUGGAACUUCCGGUGGAGCGGUGGAAUGCGUAGAGAUCCGGAAGGAACACCAGUGGCGAAAGCGGCUUCCUGGUCCGACACCGACGUUCAGGCACGAAAGCGUGGGGAGCAAACAGG
rnacentral:rRNA from 1 species